GAUGAACGCUGGCGGCGUGCCUAAUACAUGCAAGUCGAGCGAACAGACGAGGAGCUUGCUCCUCUGACGUUAGCGGCGGACGGGUGAGUAACACGUGGAUAAUCUACCUAUCAGACUGGGAUAACUUCGGGAAACCGGAGCUAAUACCGGAUAAUAUAUUGAACCGCAUGGUUCAAUAGUGAAAGACGGUUUUGCUGUCACUUAUAGAUGGAUCUGCGCCGUAUUAGCUAGUUGGUAAGGUAACGGCUUACCAAGGCAACGAUGCGUAGCCGACCUGAGAGAGGGGUCGGCCACACGGGAACGGAGACACGGUCCAGACUCCUACGGGAGGCAGCAGUAGGGAAUCUUCCGCAAUGGUCGAAAGCCUGACGGAGCAACGCGGCGUGAGUGAUGGAGGUCUUGGGAGCGUAAAACUCUGUUAUUAGGGAAGAACAAAUGUGUAAGUAACUAUGCACGUCUUGACGGUACCUAAUCAGAAAGCCACGGCUAACUACGUG
rnacentral:rRNA from 1 species